GUGAGCCGUAUACAGGGAGACUUGUAAGUACGGUUCUGGGGGAGAGUGCUCGGAAACCUACUAUGGUAACAUAGCAAGGCGCUGGGUACUUAUCCUAU
rnacentral:ncRNA from 1 species